rnacentral:rRNA from 1 species
AGUAACACGUGGAUAACCUACCUAUAGGACUGGGAUAACUUCGGGAAACCGGAGCUAAUACCGGAUAAUAUUUUGAACCGCAUGGUUCAAAAGUGAAAGACGGUCUUGCUGUCACUUAUAGAUGGAUCUGCGCUGCAUUAGCUAGUUGGUAAGGUAACGGCUUACCAAGGCAACGAUGCAUAGCCGACCUGAGAGGGUGAUCGGCCACACUGGAACUGAGACACGGUCCAG